rnacentral:lncRNA from 10 species
CUACUGUGGCAAAGAUGAAGGACAAAUCCAACACUUUCUAGGGCUAAAGGUGAAGUUCCGAUGAGGAUGAUGGUGGGGAUGAUGAUGAUGAUAAUAAUGGUGAUGCUGAUGAUGGUGAUGGAGAUACUAACAAUGAUAAUGAAGAUGAUAUGAUGAUGAUGAUAAUGGUGUAGUGACGGUGACAAUGAUGAUGGUCAUGGUGAUGAUGACAAUGAA